rnacentral:misc_RNA from 1 species
AACUUUUGACAAUGGAUCUCUUGGCUCUCGCAUCGAUGAAGAACGCAGCGAAAUGCGAUACGUAAUGUGAAUUGCAUAAUUCAGUGAAUCAUCGAAUCUUUGAACGCACCUUGCGCCCCUUGGUAUGCCGAGGGGGGCAGCCGUUUUAGUGUCGUGAACACCCUCAACUUUCUCGGUUUAUCUACCGGAGAUGGCUUGGACUUUGGAGGUUUUUGUUGCUGGCCUCGUUUGAAGCCAGCUCCUCCUAAAUGAAUUAGUGGGGUCUGUUGUGCCGAUCCUCGACGUGAUAAGUACGCUUCUACGUCUUGGAGUUAGCCUGGAAUCCUGCUUCCAACCGUCUUUGAAUGAAGACAAAUGUUCGAGUUGUGACUCGACCUUAUAAACCUUGACCUCAAAUCGGGUGAGACUACCCGCUGAAUUUAAGCAUAUCAAUAAGCGGAGGCU